UACGUAGGGUGCAAGCGUUAAUCGGAAUUACUGGGCGUAAAGCGCACGUAGGCGGCUUUGUAAGUCAGGGGUGAAAUCCCGGGGCUCAACCUCGGAACUGCCUUUGAUACUGCAAAUCUCGAGUCCGGAAGAGGUGAGUGGAAUUCCUAGUGUAGAGGUGAAAUUCGUAGAUAUUAGGAAGAACACCAGUGGCGAAGGCGGCUCACUGGUCCGGUACUGACGCUGAGGUGCGAAAGCGUGGGGAGCAAACAGG
rnacentral:rRNA from 1 species